UCACCCGUAUGGAAACAUUUUCAGCUGAUGUCACCUAAUAAAAUAUACACAUAGUUAUAAAUUAGUAUUAAUAGUAUUUAUAUAAUUAAUGUUAAAAAAAACGUGACAAGACUUUUAUCCCUUGUUCUAGUUUCUUUCUUCUAAUUUCCGGUGUAUUUAAAGGUGAAGUGUUGUUUUGGCUCAACAGUAACACCUGAUCUGACAUUACAGAGCCCUGCGUGAAAACCAGAGCAGCUCAGGUAACGUUGUGUGUCAUCAGUGGCGAAUAGUGCAGUGGAUGAGGCCUUGGUUAUUGAGGAUCCCCAACUCAUCACUAUUGUGGAGGACAAAGUGUUCAGGAAGCUUGUUAAAGCUCUGAGCCCUGCUGAUGUUCUCCCCACAGGAUAGAUGUGCAUGUGAGCAUUUUACCUCAUUUCCUCAUAUUUGCCAUUCCAAGACUGGCAAAUUAUUUCCUUUAGGCUUUGAAAGCUGUAGUGAAGGACAGAUAAGCUAUAAUGAUUCAAACCCAAAGCCACUGUGUCAAAGACAUCUGUAGUUAGUUUAACAGCAAAUAUAUGAACCUCUAUCAGCACCACUGCAAGGAUUAUAUGCUUUUUGUCAUUGCAAUAUUCUAACUGAUGCCAUUUUGUUUAAGUUGCUGCAGCAGUGACACUUGAAUAAAUCACUUUUUGUUCACUGAUUUUAUAGGAGACACUGACACAUGUGUUGGAGCAAACAGGUCAGCCGGCUUAAAGAUGAUUAAAGAGAUGAAUACACAUAUUUGAACAGCACAUACCAUAUGCUCCAACAUGUUUAUGAUCUCAGGGAACCUGCAGGAGCACACUGACAUUGUCCCAUAAGAACAUCUCAUCUGAACAGUAAAAAAAUUAUUUUAGAAAGUCUAAAAAGUGCUGUCCCCAUUUAAUGAUGCCACAGUUGAGCCACUAAAUGUCAUUCCCCUUCAUCAUUGCUGCGCCAUGCACGAGAGGAGGAAGGAAAUGGCCACUGUCCAUACUCCAGAGAGUCUGAGGAGACGGUUAAAGGAGAAGCUGUACAUUUUACAGUAAAUGAGCAUCAUAUCACUGGCAGCACUGCUCGAUCCCUGGUUUAAAAACACAGUCUACAUUAACUCUGGUAAAGCAGCAGAUGAUGAGGAGAUGCUCACUUCUAAAUCUGCUGUUGUUAUACAAAACAGCACUGCUUCCUCCUCAUCAUCAUCACAGCUGCACAUAUUAGAAGCUUCUCAGUCUGUGAUUCAAGAAGAAAUGGACACAUUCUAAUUAUGUUAUUGCCUUUAGUCACUUAUAGCCUGUUUAUGUUAGGUAGCAAACUGUGCUGCUGGUUGGACACCACAGUCCUGCAGACGAGGACCAACCAGCACUGUAGACUCUCUGUGGGCUCCUCCUGUUUGUCUUUUUACAUUUUUAUUCCUUUUAUUAUUCAAACUAAGAUCAGAUUGGUUAUUAUUCUGGGUGCUGUGGUGAG